AAGAAAAUCCAGCAACAAACUUGUAACAAUAACAAAUUUAUUACAGAAAAAUUAUUAAAGAAAAUUAAAACAACAAAUUAUGUGUACAAAUACCUGAAGUCCAAAUAUAAAUGUAAAAUUCAAAUGUCUAGUCUGAUCCUGGAAUGAUCCCUUUUUGAAUAGCACAGGUAAAUCCAAGAACACUUAAGAAUAAAUUCCCACAAUAAAAUCCACAAGAAUAAUUAAUAAUCCAAGCUCCAAUAAAUCACUUAAUUUCCAAGUUGAAUAAUACUCCAAAUAUAUUGAUGACUUAAAAGAUCACUGAUGACUAAAAAGGUAACUGAUGACUUAAAGAUAAGAUUAAUGAAAAAUGUCUCCUUAUAUAUAUUAACUAAGAAGUUUCCAGAAAGGUCUAUUAUGUUCUCAAGUAAUCAUAAUCUAGCAACUUCAACAAUAAAGAUCAUUCCAGAAGUUUCUAUCUAAAUAUAAUGCAUGAGUUUUCUCAAACAGUUAAGAACAUUCUAGUACAUACAUGUAGUUUAUGUUCUAAAAAUAGAACAAUGAUAAAAUUGGAAAUACCAACUGGUCAGAUACAAACUAUAUACAUGUAAUAUGUUGCAUACAUAACACUUCCCCUCUUCAAGAAAAAGAAAUAUGAAUGAAAUGAAUAUUUCUUUUACAUAAAUCCAAACAAUGUAACUUACAAAUAACAUAGGAGAAAUGUUAAACAAUUUUAUACAUUCAUUCAUAUAUAUGUGUAUUACAAACAAUAGCAAACAACAACAAAAAAAAACAAAAAGAAAA